GCAUGAGCCGGGCCCCGGCGACCGGGAAAAUGCCCGGCGCCCCCGAGGCCGCGCCGGGGGACGGGGCGGGCGCCAGCCGCCAGAGGAAGCUGGAGGCGCUGAUCCGGGACCCCCGCUCGCCCAUCAACGUGGAGAGCUUGCUGGAUGGCUUAAAUUCCUUGGUCCUUGAUUUGGAUUUUCCUGCUUUGAGGAAAAACAAGAAUAUAGAUAAUUUUUUAAAUAGAUAUGAGAAAAUUGUGAAAAAAAUCAGAGGUCUACAGAUGAAGGCAGAAGACUAUGAUGUUGUAAAAGUUAUUGGAAGAGGUGCUUUUGGUGAGGUGCAGCUGGUUCGUCAUAAAGCAUCACAGAAGGUGUAUGCUAUGAAGCUUCUUAGUAAGUUUGAAAUGAUAAAAAGAUCAGAUUCUGCUUUUUUCUGGGAAGAGAGAGAUAUUAUGGCCUUUGCCAACAGUCCCUGGGUGGUUCAGCUCUUUUGUGCUUUUCAAGAUGAUAAGUAUCUGUACAUGGUAAUGGAGUACAUGCCUGGUGGAGAUCUUGUAAACCUUAUGAGUAACUAUGACGUGCCUGAAAAAUGGGCCAAAUUCUAUACUGCUGAAGUUGUUCUUGCUCUGGAUGCCAUACACUCCAUGGGCUUAAUUCACAGAGAUGUAAAGCCUGACAACAUGCUCUUGGAUAAACAUGGACAUCUAAAGUUAGCAGAUUUUGGCACAUGUAUGAAGAUGGAUGAAACAGGCAUGGUGCAUUGUGAUACAGCAGUUGGAACACCUGAUUAUAUUUCACCUGAGGUUCUCAAAUCACAAGGGGGUGAUGGUUACUAUGGGCGAGAAUGUGAUUGGUGGUCGGUGGGUGUUUUCCUUUUUGAGAUGCUGGUGGUGCAUCUCUAUAUGCAGGCUGUGUUCCAGGUAGCUCCAUUCUCCCCGCCUCUGGCCCAAUCUGAUGAUACAUUAGGGGAUACUCCAUUUUAUGCAGAUUCACUUGUAGGAACUUAUAGCAAAAUUAUGGAUCAUAAAAACUCACUGUGUUUCCCUGAAGAUGCAGAAAUUUCUAAACAUGCGAAGAAUCUCAUUUGCGCCUUCUUAACAGAUAGGGAGGUACGACUUGGGAGAAAUGGGGUAGAAGAAAUCAAACAGCAUCCUUUCUUUAAGAAUGAUCAAUGGAAUUGGGAUAACAUAAGAGAGACGGCAGCUCCUGUAGUACCAGAACUCAGCAGUGACAUAGACAGCAGCAAUUUUGAUGACAUCGAAGAUGAUAAAGGAGAUGUAGAAACUUUUCCAAUUCCUAAAGCUUUUGUGGGAAAUCAGCUGCCUUUUAUAGGAUUUACCUACUAUAGAGAAAAUCUGUUAUUAAGUGAGUCUUCAUCUUGUAGAGAAAAUGAUUCAUUACAAUCAAGGAAAAAUGAAGAAAGUCAAGAGAUUCAGAAAAAAUUAUAUACAUUAGAAGAACACCUCAGCACUGAGAUACAAGCCAAAGAAGAACUAGAGCAAAAGUGCAAAUCUGUUAAUACUCGACUUGAAAAAGUAGCAAAGGAAUUAGAAGAAGAGAUUACUUUAAGGAAAAAUGUGGAAUCAGCAUUAAGACAAUUAGAAAGAGAAAAGGCACUUCUUCAGCACAAAAAUGCAGAAUAUCAGCGGAAAGCUGAUCACGAAGCAGACAAGAAGCGGAAUUUGGAAAAUGAUGUUAACAGUUUAAAGGAUCAACUUGAAGAUUUGAAAAAAAGAAAUCAGAACUCUCAAAUAUCCACCGAGAAAGUGAAUCAGCUCCAGAGACAACUGGAUGAAACCAAUGCUUUACUGAGAACAGAAUCUGAUACUGCGGCCCGGUUAAGAAAAACCCAGGCAGAAAGUUCAAAACAGAUUCAGCAGCUGGAAUCUAACAAUAGAGAUCUCCAAGAUAAAAAUUGCCUGCUAGAGACUGCCAAGUUAAAACUUGAAAAGGAAUUUAUGAAUCUUCAGUCAGUUCUAGAAUCUGAAAGGAGGGACCGAACCCACGGAUCCGAGAUAAUUAAUGACUUACAAGGUAGAAUAUCUGGCCUAGAAGAAGACUUAAAGAAUGGAAAAAUCUUAUUAGCAAAAGCAGAGGUGGAGAAGAGACAACUGCAGGAGAGACUUACUGAUUUGGAAAAGGAAAAGAACAACAUGGAAAUAGAUAUGACGUACCAACUAAAAGUUAUACAGCAGAGCUUAGAACAAGAAGAAGCUGAGCAUAAGGCCACAAAAGCACGGCUGGCAGAUAAAAAUAAGAUUUAUGAGUCCAUUGAAGAAGCAAAAUCAGAAGCCAUGAAAGAAAUGGAGAAGAAGCUCUCAGAGGAAAGGACGUUAAAACAGAAGGUGGAGAAUCUAUUGCUGGAAGCUGAGAAAAGAUGCUCUUUAUUUGACUGUGACCUCAAGCAGUCACAGCAGAAAAUAAAUGAACUCCUUAAACAGAAAGAUGUGCUAAAUGAGGAUGUUAGAAACUUGACAUUAAAAAUAGAGCAGGAAACUCAGAAGCGCUGCCUUACACAAAAUGACUUGAAGAUGCAAACACAGCAAGUUAACACACUAAAAAUGUCAGAAAAACAGUUAAAACAAGAGAAUAAUCAUCUCAUGGAAAUGAAAAUGAGCUUGGAAAAGCAGAAUGCUGAACUUCGGAAAGAACGUCAAGAUGCAGAUGGGCAAAUGAAAGAACUUCAGGAUCAGCUUGAAGCGGAGCAGUAUUUCUCAACCCUCUAUAAAACACAGGUGAGGGAACUUAAAGAAGAAUGUGAAGAAAAAACCAAACUUUGUAAAGAAUUACAGCAGAAGAAACAGGAAUUACAGGAAGAAAGGGAUUCCUUGGCUGCUCAACUGGAGAUCACCUUGACCAAAGCAGAUUCUGAGCAGCUGGCUCGUUCAAUUGCUGAAGAGCAGUAUUCUGAUUUGGAAAAAGAGAAAAUUAUGAAGGAGCUUGAGAUCAAAGAGAUGAUGGCUAGACACAAACAGGAACUCACUGAAAAAGAUGCUACAAUUGCAUCUCUUGAAGAAACGAAUAGAACACUAACUAGUGAUGUUGCCAAUCUUGCAAAUGAGAAAGAAGAAUUAAAUAACAAAUUGAAAGAUGCACAAGAACAGCUGUCACGGCUGAAGGAUGAGGAGAUCAGUGCAGCUGCUAUUAAAGCACAGUUUGAGAAGCAGCUGCUCACAGAGAGAACACUGAAAACUCAAGCUGUGAAUAAGUUGGCUGAGAUCAUGAAUCGAAAAGAACCUGUCAAGCGUGGUAGUGACACUGAUGUGCGGAGAAAAGAGAAAGAAAAUCGGAAGCUACAUAUGGAGCUUAAAUCUGAACGUGAAAAACUGACCCAGCAGAUGAUCAAGUACCAGAAAGAACUGAAUGAAAUGCAGGCUCAAAUAGCUGAAGAGAGCCAGAUUCGAAUUGAACUGCAGAUGACACUGGACAGUAAAGAUAGUGACAUUGAGCAGCUGCGGUCACAGCUCCAGGCUUUGCAUAUUGGUCUGGAUAGUUCCAGUAUAGGCAGUGGACCGGGGGACGCUGAGGCAGAUGAUGGGUUUCCAGUUCAUAUCACUCAAUCACGCACUAUGGAAUCCAUGUCAUUCACCUACCAGCGUUCCUCUACUUCUCUCAAUAUUGCCACUAAGCCUUCCAGUUCUCAUAUGCUUCUUGACUCUGAUUCUGACUCAGAAGAAGAAUCUUUGCCUUACUUACCUAUUUCAUCGGAACCUAAUGGUACAGAAUCAAGACUAGAAGGAUGGCUUUCAUUGCCUUUACGAAACAACACUAAGAAAUUUGGAUGGACUAAAAAGUAUGUGAUUGUAAGCAGUAAGAAGAUUCUUUUCUAUGACAGCGAACAAGAUAAAGAACAAUCUAAUCCUUACAUGGUUUUAGAUAUAGACAAAUUAUUUCAUGUCCGACCAGUUACACAGACAGAUGUAUAUAGAGCAGAUGCUAAAGAUAUUCCAAGGAUAUUUCAGAUUCUGUACGCCAAUGAAGGAGAAAGUAAGAAGGAACAAGAAUUUCCAGUGGAGCCAGUAGGAGAAAAAUCAAAUUAUAUUUGCCAUAAAGGACAUGAAUUUAUUCCUACUCUGUAUCAUUUCCCAACCAACUGUGAGGCUUGUAUGAAGCCAUUGUGGCAUAUGUUUAAACCUCCUCCUGCUUUAGAAUGCCGGCGCUGCCAUAUUAAAUGUCAUAAAGAUCACAUGGACAAAAAGGAGGAGAUUAUAGCACCUUGCAAGGUUUAUUGUGAUAUUUCGACGGCAAAGAAUCUAUUGUUGUUAGCAAAUUCUACAGAAGAGCAGCAGAAGUGGGUUAGUCGGUUGGUGAAAAAGAUUCCUAAAAAGCCUCCAGCUCCAGACCCUUUUGCACGGUCAUCACCUAGAACUUCAAUGAAGAUACAACAAAACCAGUCUAUUAGACGGCCAAGUCGACAGCUUGCCCCAAACAAACCAAGGACCUUCAGUAUAUGAAUAAUGAUGUGCAUUGGCUGUAUUAUCAGAAAUCUUUUCAUUCUAACCACAAACAUCUUAUAUGAAACUUUUCUUGAAACUAUUAUCUCAAGGAAGUAAUUUAGAAUGACAAAGGUAGAAUUGGUGUGUCAGCAGUGAAAAUGUUGAAUUUUUCUGUGAGUUCUGGCCCUGCCCUUCGAAUCAUUCUUCAUUGAUUUUUUAAUACAUUUUGCAUAGCAACAAUUGCUUGAUUUGGCAUUUAAAGACUGGGAUUGGUCAUUUGAUGAUGUUGAUGGUGGUGAUGAUGAUGACGAUGUUUUUGAUUUCUGAAGAAAUAAAUGGGCUAGCUGCCUUCUAUGAAUGCAGUCAUUAUUCAAGGUGAUCAUAUUCUUCCAGUUAAAACAAGACUGAAGUAUGAUGGGCCAGAAUUUCUUAAAAAGCUAUAUUUUCUGGAGGGACUGAUACAUACACACACACACACACACACACACACACAUAUAUUUCCCUUAUUCCUGCAAUAUAAAUUAUAAAUCUUGGAUAUUUUCUGGGCUCCUUUGGAGCAUCAAGUUGAACCAACAAUGAUUGGUUAAUAGAGUAAGAAUAUCAUAUGCAACUCUUCCAAACUUGUUCCAUAAAGCUCUCUUGGCAGUCACUCACACUACAUUGCACAAAAGGAUUGAGAAGAGUUAAAGCUUAAAUCAUCUUUUCAGCUUCAACAGAGAGAUUUCACCAGCACAUUUACCAGAAGAUUCUGGGAAUGGAUUCCACUACAGUGAUAGAGACUGCAUCUUUAAGAAGUGACCAUUAUACUGUGUGUGUGCAUAUAUAUGUGUGUGUGUCUCUCUAUGCGCGUGCGUGCACACACACACACACACAUAUAUAAUAGUACUGUAAUACUGCAAGAGGGUUCAACAAAUGUCCCAUUUUAUUUUUUUAUACACAUUAAUCAGAUAUCUUACUGCAGUUGCAACUAUGCACUUGUAUAAAGCCAUAAUGUUGGAGUUUAUAUCACUCAUUUGUGUAUACCCCAUGGAGGCUGCAUGUUCAUGUUUAAGCAAUUAUUGUAACAGGAGUUUUGAUGUUAAUUGUAUCAAUUUCCUAAUGCUUCAUGAUAGGCAACUUUACCCAUUUUGAAUGCCUUAAUUUAAUUUUUUUUUAAAGUCUCACCCUUUUCUGUAUUUUGAAAAAAGAAGUGUUUUCCAGCUCUUAGGAUGCAAAUUCGCUUUGCAAAAGAAAAACAGUGCACUAUUUUUACAUGUAAUAGUUAUCAAUGUCAACCUAUUUUGAUUGUAUAACAAUUUUUUUUAAAAGUACUCGUGAUAGAAACAAUAAUGGAUACUAUUGGAACUAAUAUAUCUUUUAUGUAUAUCUAUUAUUCAUCCCACUCUUCUUACAGACCUCAGUAUUAGUGUGUGACUGAAAUGUUUGCUUUGCUUUGAAUUUGCUGGCUACCCUAGAUGUAUUUUUAUUUCUGGUAGAGACAUUGUGACUAUUUUUACAUUUUCACACUCAAGAUUCUAAGAUUAUCUCAAAUAUAAAGAAAAUUAAGACAUACUGUAGAUAUAUUUUAAAUAUUUAAAUGUGAUUCCUCAAACACACAACUGUAUAUGGCAAUAUUUCAGGAUUGGGCUAAAACUGGUGACUGGGAAGAACUAGCCUCAGAGGCUCUUAACCUGAUUUUUAUUUUUUAAAUGAUGUUAAAGUCAUAGGUUAUGCAGGACCAUUUCUGCUAGAUUUCUCAUUGUCCCAGAAAAAUGUGUUUUGUACUGCUACCAUAUGGAUUAAUGAUAAGCAUCAAGUUAAAAAAAUUAUGUAGUCUUUUAUCAGUCUCUUUAUAAUACAUAUACACAGGGUUUGGUGUGAUAUUGAAAUACAUCAUCUAAUAGUUCAAUGAAGGAAGCAGACAUUUUUCAUUGAUUACUUUUGGAGUCAGUGUAGAAAUGUUUAAAGAGUUAGAUCCCCAAAAUAUAGAUACUGUUGUGAAAAUUGAAGAGUGGCCUUUGGCCUACUGAUGUACUAAAACUGAAUCUUGUUAUUCUCAUUAUCCCACCUGCACUCUUCCAUGAUGUCUGUGCUAAACCAGAAACUCAUGUCAUUUCCCUCACAGAGAUGUUCUGCAGUUCUGGUUUGGGGGCACAGCCUUUUUUUUUUUUUUUUUUUUUUAAGUAAGAUAUAAAAAUGAAAAAUAUAUAAAAUUUAUAUAGAAUAAAUAUUUCCAUUCAUUAGAUUUGUUAAAAGGAGACUGAAUUAAUAUUUUAUAUAAAGAUUUUGUUACACUAUGGGAGGUUCUAUCAUAUUCUGAAUUGGAGAGUAUAUAUAUAUAUAUAUAUUUUUAAUAAACUUUAUUAAGGUGAAAUAAUUUGAAGUUUACAUGAGUAAUUGAAAUAUUUGAGUAAAAAUGGCAAAAGUUAAUUUUUGAAUGCUGUAUAUAUUAGAGAAUAUGGAGAAUCAUGGUGUGAUGCAACUAUACGAGGAAAUUUAAUGUGAAGUUUUUUGGGGAAAAAAAGGUAUUCUAAGGGGUGAAAAAAAUCUCUCCCAUGGAGAUUCUUCACAUUAUAUGGUUUAACAUAAGGGUUCAAUAGGGUUGUUUCUCCAGCUAAUGGAAAUGCGCUUAAUAAAAAUUCUGACCUUGGGUAAGAAUUUGCUUUUUACCCUGUUGCUGAUUUCAUGUACAUACAUGAAUGCAUACACCCAUACAAAUGUUCUCUUCUCAACACUCAUUAAAUACAAUAUUGACUUGGUUUAACAACCUGAUUUUGUGCCAGCUUCUCUUUUUCUUGAGGCUCCAAAGGUUCCCAGAUAAAUAAAGACCAAAAGUUGCUUAUUUCUUCACACCUGAUUUCUCCUAGAGCCAUAAAUACCUCCUAUUGAGAACUAAGAAGUAGUGAAUACUGGGAUUUUCUUAGUUGGAUUUUUUACUUUUGUUUAGUGGGGGAUAGCAAGACAGAAGUAGAAGGAAAACUGGUGCCGGUAUUAUUGUUAAAAAUAAAUGUAUAGUGAAUGUUUGAAAAGUAUUAAAGAAAAUAUGCUAUCUAGAAGCAAGAUUUAAAAAAAAAUCUAUCUGAAAAUUUUAACUAAAGGAUACCAAGAAAUCUAGAGUAAGGUUAGUGUCUUUAAAACUAACCUAGGCUAGAGUCACAAAUCUGGCUCUGAAGGAUGUCUUUUUUUUUUAAAUCAGUUUAGCUGUAGAUCCUCAAAAAACAAAACAAAACAAAACAAAACAAAAAAAAACUCUAGGUUGCCAAACCACAAUUUAAGAAGUUUUGCUGCUGUUGUUAAUCUAUUCUUACAGGAUUCUCGUGGUAAAAUAGAGAAACUUAAGACACUAUAUUACCUUUUUCAAACAUGCUUUAAUAACAUGUUUAAUAUUCUAUGAGAGCAAGUCACUUCUGAGUUUCUCAGUCUGUGUCGACACUGCUACUGACUCACGUCUCCUCCCCUGGAAGAAGGCUGCAGUUUUCCUCUGGCGUGAAGAUAACCAUAGUUGAUUCAUAAAGCACUUUGAAAAUAGGCACUGUAUGACAGUGCCGGAUAUUAUGCUUGGGGGCCUGUCCUCGAUUCCCUUCCCCAUAAUGAGUUUUGUUUGAAAUUGUAAUAAGUUAUGAACUGCAUGGUUUAGAUAAUCAUAAAUAUUUGAUCAACUGUCCCCGUUGAACAAAAAUCGUACCCCCCUGAUUUUUAAAAAAUUUUUGUUGCAUCUUUGUAGUAAUGUAAUUGUAUUUUAUGCCUGCUUUUUAUAUUAAAAAAAUUAAAUAAAAGAAAUUAAGACAUAA